GCACACCGCGGUAUACGGAGAGGGCUAGCGUCAUUCGGAAUUAUUGGGCGUAAAGGGCGCGUAGGCGGAUUAGUAAGUUAAAAGUGAAAUCCCAAGGCUCAACCUUGGAAUUGCUUUUAAAACUGCUAAUCUAGAGAUUGAAAGAGGAUAGAGGAAUUCCUAGUGUAGAGGUGAAAUUCGUAAAUAUUAGGAGGAACACCAGUGGCGAAGGCGUCUAUCUGGUUCAAAUCUGACGCUGAGGCGCGAAGGCGUGGGGAGCAAACAGGAUUAGAUACCCUGGUAGUCCACGCUGUAAACGAUGAAUGUUAAAUAUGGGAAGUUUUACUUUCUGUAUUACAGCUAACGCGUUAAACAUUCCGCCUGGGGACUACGGUCGCAAGAUUAAAACUCAAAGGAAUUGACGGGGACCCGCACAAGCGGUGGAGCAUGUGGUUUAAUUCGAUGCAACGCGAAAAACCUUACCACUCCUUGACAUGGAAAUUAUACCUAUUCGAAGGGAUAGGGUCGGUUCGGCCGGGUUUCACACAGGUGUUGCAUGGCUGUCGUCMGCUCGUGUCGUGAGAUGUUGGGUUAAGUCCCGCAACGAGACGCAACCCUCAUCCUUAGUUACCAUCAKGUAAUGCUGGGGACUUUAAGGAAACUGCCAGUGAUAAGCUGGAGGAAGGUGGGGGAUGAUGUCAAGUCAUCAUGGCCCUUAUGGAGUGGGCUACACACCUGCUACAAUGGUGGCUACAAUGGGCUGCAAAGUCGCAAGGCUAAGCCAAUCCCUUAAAAGCCAUCUCAGUUCGGAUUGUACUCUGCAACUCGAGUGCAUGAAGUUGGAAUCGCUAGUAAUCGUGGAUCAGCACGCCACGGUGAAUACGUUCUCGGGUCUUGUACACACUGCCCGUCACGCCAUGGGAAUUGGUUCACUCG
rnacentral:rRNA from 1 species